rfam:Strongyloides venezuelensis genome assembly, scaffold: SVE_scaffold0000100
UGAGUGUUAACUCAGUGGUAGAGUGCUCGCUUUGCAUGCGAGAAGCAGCGGGUUUAUAUCUCGCAGUCUUCA